rnacentral:lncRNA from 1 species
CGAGAAGGAUAGAGCAUUGGAGCUUCUCUGGUGCUUGGUGCUGAUUUGAGUUGGGGAAGAAAAAUAAAAGUUGCUGCUUUGAUUUUGAAAAGGCAGUGAUGAGAAAGAGGUGAAGAGGAUAUGGGAAUUCCGUUGCUCAUGUUUGGGAUUGAAGGGUUGGGUUGCUUGCUGUCUGCUUGGAACCUUGGAGUGGCGCUGGUGUGCUCUGCCUUUUGGAAGAUAAGAGCAGGAAAAGGUUGGUAGGGCAAGCAGAGAGGUGCAUUUGGAUUUGGAAUUGAGAAAGGAGGCAAGCAGUACGUGCUACCCACGACGAACUCAAG